rnacentral:rRNA from 1 species
GAGUUUGAUCCUGGCUCAGAUUGAACGCUGGCGGCCUGCCUAACACAUGCAAGUCGAACGGCAGCACAGGAGAGCUUGCUCUCUGGGUGGCGAGUGGCGGACGGGUGAGGAAUACAUCGGAAUCUACUCUGUCGUGGGGGAUAACGUAGGGAAACUUACGCUAAUACCGCAUACGACCUACGGGUGAAAGCAGGGGAUCUUCGGACCUUGCGCGAUUGAAUGAGCCGAUGUCGGAUUAGCUAGUUGGCGGGGUAAAGGCCCACCAAGGCGACGAUCCGUAGCUGGUCUGAGAGGAUGAUCAGCCACACUGGAACUGAGACACGGUCCAGACUCCUACGGGAGGCAGCAGUGGGGAAUAUUGGACAAUGGGCGCAAGCCUGAUCCAGCCAUACCGCGUGGGUGAAGAAGGCCUUCGGGUUGUAAAGCCCUUUUGUUGGGAAAGAAAUCCAGCCGGCUAAUACCUGGUUGGGAUGACGGUACCCAAAGAAUAAGCACCGGCUAACUUCGUGCCAGCAGCCGCGGUA